rnacentral:rRNA from 1 species
AUUGAACGCUGGCGGCAUGCUUUACACAUGCAAGUCGAACGGUAACAGGUCUUCGGAUGCUGACGAGUGGCGAACGGGUGAGUAAUACAUCGGAACGUGCCUAGUAGUGGGGGAUAACUACUCGAAAGAGUAGCUAAUACCGCAUGAGAUCUACGGAUGAAAGCAGGGGACCUUMGGGCCUUGUGCUACUAGAGCGGCUGAUGGCAGAUUAGGUAGUUGGUGGGGUAAAAGCUUACCAAGCCUGCGAUCUGUAGCUGGUCUGAGAGGACGACCAGCCACACUGGGACUGAGACACGGCCCAGACUCCUACGGGAGGCAGCAGUGGGGAAUUUUGGACAAUGGGCGAAAGCCUGAUCCAGCAAUGCCGCGUGCAGGAUGAAGGCCCUCGGGUUGUAAACUGCUUUUGUACGGAACGAAAAGCCUGGGGCUAAUAUCCCCGGGUCAUGACGGUACCGUAAGAA